UACGUAGGUGGCAAGCGUUGUCCGGAUUUACGGGGCGUAAAGAGCGCGCAGGCGGUCGUGCAAGUCGCGUGUGAAAGCCCCCGGCUCAACUGGGGAGGGUCACGCGAUACUGCUCGACUUGAAGGCAGGAGAGGGAAGUGGAAUUCCCGGUGUAGUGGUGAAAUGCGUAGAUAUCGGGAGGAACACCAGUGGCGAAGGCGACUUCCUGGCCUGUUCUUGACGCUGAGGCGCGAAAGCUAGGGUAGCAAACGGG
rnacentral:rRNA from 1 species